GUUCGUUGAAACUCACCCCCGGCUACGAUGCGGCGCCCAGAGCCAACAAGGGCCUCGGGUCAGCGCCCGCUGCCACGAGUGCGGCGGGACAAUCCAGGUCCUGACAGGC